rnacentral:piRNA from 1 species
UAUCAAGGAAACAGUGUCUACUUCUUCAU